AUUGAACGCUGGCGGCAGGCCUAACACAUGCAAGUCGAACGAGUGGCGGACGGGUGAGUAAUGUCUGGGAAACUGCCCGAUGGAGGGGGAUAACUACUGGAAACGGUAGCUAAUACCGCAUACCAUCGGAUGUGCCCAGAUGUGAUCAGCUAGUAGGUGGGGUAACGGCUCACCGAGGCGACGAUCCCUAGCUGGUCGGAGAGGAUGACCAGCCACACUGGAACUGAGACACGGUGCAGGAGCCUACGGUAGGCGGCAGUGGGGAAUAUGGCACAAUGGGCGCAAGCCUGAUGCAGCCAUGCCGCGUGUAUGAAGAAGGCCUUCGGGUUGUAAAGUACUUUCAGCGAGGAGGCGUUACUCGCAGAAGAAGCACCUGCUAACGCCGUGCCAGGAGCCGCGGUAAUUC
rnacentral:rRNA from 1 species